GCACCCGUAGCUCAGUUGGAUAGAGCACACUUGUCGCAAAGUUGAGGCCGUCGGUUCGAUUCCGGCCGGGUGCUCCA
rnacentral:tRNA from 1 species